CCUACGGGAGGCAGCAGUAAGGAAUAUUGGACAAUGCCCGCAAGGGUGAUCCAGCCAUGCCGCGUGCAGGAAGACGGCCCUAUGGGUUGUAAACUGCUUUUACACCGGAGAAAACCCCUUUUCGUGAAGAGGGCUGAUAGUAUGGUGAGAAUAAGCAUCGGCUAACUUCGUGCCAGCAGCCGCGGUAAGACGAAGGAUGCAAGCGUUAUCCGGAUUCAUUGGGUUUAAAGGGAGCGUAGGUGGACUGAUAAGUCAGUGGUGAAAUCUCUGGGCUUAACCCAGAAAUUGCCAUUGAUACUGUUGGUCUUGAGUACAGUUGCUGUGGGCGGAAUAUGACAUGUAGUGGUGAAAUACAUAGAGAUGUCAUAGAACACCGAUUGCGAAGGCAGCUCACAAAGCUGUAACUGACACUGAGGCUCGAAAGUGCGGGGAUCAAACAGGAUUAGAUACCCUGGUAGUCCGCACCGUAAACGAUGAUUACUCGCUGCUAGAUGGCAACAUUUAGUGGCUUAGCGAAAGCGAUAAGUAAUCCACCUGGGGAGUACGCCGGCAACGGUGAAACUCAAAGGAAUUGACGG
rnacentral:rRNA from 1 species